rnacentral:rRNA from 1 species
AUGUUUAGUAAAAUUAAAUCUCUGGAAGAGGACAAAGUCAGACACAGUGCAUUGUGGGCUAAGACUGAAAAAAGAAUUAAGGAACUAGAGAGUAAUCAACAAACUAUGCAGGACCUGGUGAGACAGCAACAAGAAGAGAUCCAGAAGCUAAUUCAAGAGGCCGCCAAUAGAGAACAGUAUGAAAUGGAGUUAGCUAAUAUGGAUAUGGAGGAGUAUGAAAAGGAAAAUCAACAGGGAAAGGAAGAAACCGGGUCUGGAAAAUACAAUGAACCUACUGACUAUAAUGCCAGUCAAGAAUCAAUAGGGACCCUGGGUGAAAAAAUGGCUGACAUACAUGGAAUGGAGGUCUUGGAAAAGGAUGGGGAGGAGAGAGAAGUGGAAAUUAAAAGAAGUCUCGGGAACAAAGGAAAAGAAGAUCAGAAAAUAGAGGAGAUGGCAAAGAUUAGAGCUGAGGAAAGGGACAAUUAUGAUAAAGGAGCCGUCAAGAAAACUGCUGGAGCUGGGAGCAAGAGUGCUAGAACGGGCAGCAAGUGA